rnacentral:lncRNA from 1 species
GGUCAUCGUCCCCCCGGCACCGUCCCACUUCUACUGAUGUGACGCACAGUUGACGGACACCCGUGACUCUUGUGGUGCAGUGGCCAUUGACCGUGCUGGAUCCAGUGCAGAUUUCUACUGAGGGAUGCAGUCCAACACCUAGUGAUGCAUCGACCUCCGUGCCCCCCAAAGUAGAACAUGCUGCCGUCCUUAACGUGGAGUCCGGGGGAUGGGGACGCGGGGAGCUGGACGGGAGCGUGAGGUGUGAAGGCUCUGCGACUGGAGGUGCCCUCUGCAUGCAUGCAGGAAAAAACCCCGGGGAGGCGCUCUAGGAGUCUCAUGCGCCACUGAAGUUCUGCAUCAUCCGAUGGGAUAGCCAGCUAACUUGUAUGCAAAGAGGAACCUCGGAGGUGGGGAUUCCUACCAGAUACCACAGCUGAUUGCCAGGAGCCACCUGAGAAUGCUGCAGUGGGAUCCUAAUGAGCCCCAUACUGCCACCAUUGGCAGACCUCUGGCUCUCCAUCCACAGAGAGGGAAGCGUUUCAUUAUUCCUGCUGCAGGUACCACAGAUCGAGAAAUGUGGAUGCCGGUCCCCUCGCUACCCAGAGCCCUGGGAGCAGAGCGGACCUACCUGCAGAGCAUUCCCCAAACCAGCACAGACGCUACACCCAAUGUGGCCCGCCUGUGGAGCUCCGGAGCAAGGAGCGCCAGGCCACACGUGGACCUGCUGGGCCGAGCCGCUGUGGGCGCUCCCCUGGCAGUGUCUUAGCUGGUUGUUGUGAGGAUUGACAGCAAAGCAAUCAGCAAGUAUACUGCCACAGGAACGCCGCACCCUGAGGGGCCUGCCGCACCUCGAGGGUCCCGCCGCACCAUACAUCACUGAGACAACAGGCACAAGGUAUAGGCUCCGUUUGCUGCUCUACCUGCAACACAGCUGACAAGAAUAAAUAUUCUAUCCCUGGUGAGGAAGAGCGAUAA